UUUAUUACCAUACUCAGAGUUAGCCCUAAAGUUCUGUACAGGCAGACACUGACAUCUGUACAACUAAAAUUAUAGCUAUGUUACAAUAUGAGCUACAAGGACAUAUACAACUUUUUUAUUUUAUUUGGGGAGGUGUGGAGGGACAUGCCGUUACACUGACAGGUGACUAACGAGCUCCUCUGGGCCUUUUAAAGGAGACACACCUGCAAGCUUUGUUCUGCCCAGAGGGAGGAGGAGUUUAAAAGGGAAAACCUGCCAUGUGCUGGGGUGGUGAAUGGGUAGUUGAGACAGGCUUGGGAAGAAGGAGCUAGCAGUAAGCCUCAUAGGAGGACCUGAGCUACAGCCCUUGUAGACUAAGCCCAAAGGGCUACUGCAGGAAGACUGCCUGAGUUUCAGGAAGUGAGGAAACUAGGGCAUGGCUGAACAGUACUGAGAGUUGGAACACCUCUGAGAGAACGGGAAACUGAGAUAUAGAAAAUAUAUCAAAAACCUCUAAGAGAAGAGAGAGGAUGAAAAGGUAACACUUUUAAGCAUGGAAUUGCCUGUGGGAAGUGUCCAAAUACCCAAGAGGAGGGACAAGCCUUGUGUAACAUUGUGGUUAUGGUCCUGGGAAUACCACUACAGGAUUGCCUCUUUGAGGAGCAAUGACAAGCCCGGCCAAUGAUUCCAAUGACUCAAAGAUUAACAGAACAUUGUCUAGGACGGUGCUACAGUGCAUGGGCUCGUCAGCCAUACAAAGAGCACUAAUCUUAAAAAAUGUAGGUUCCUGUGCAUUCCAGAAGAUGAGGGAAAUGGUUGGAGGGGAGAUCAGACUUGACUGCAUAUCUGAAGUUCAAGAAUUUCUUCACUUCUGGAGAGCCCAGAACUACCCUUCCUCCAGCAGGGCCCAGCUCUGCACAUUGCCUGCUCCUGCCUCAGUUUCAUCUCUGUCUGAUACCGGACUGUCUCACUCCUCCACCCUGCCCUUUGGAGAGAGACAUUGGGUACUCCUGAUGCUCUGAUGUACUGUACUCAGAGACCCUGGAUAGCUAACUAGGGACAAGGUCACUCAUCCCCUUCCCAGAAGAUGGCACCAGAUUGCCUUCUAGCUGUGGAACAGUUACAUUUUAUCAGCAGCAGGUAUAAAAAUUUUAAAAAUAAGUUGUGCAUUCAGCUCUCAGCAGUGGACACCACUUAAAGUGUUAGAGUAAGCAGUUUCACAGAGACAUGGAGAACAUGAAGUGUACAGCAGAUCAGGGAAAUGAUUCAGAGAAUCCUCUUCAGCUCCGUGCACUAGAAAUGCUCUCAGGUUCUAAAUGCACUGUGAAAGAGGAAAGGACCUGAAUUCAGUACACGCAAGAAACAAAGACCCCAAAUACCCAGUGGGCUAUUCAUGAAUAGUUAAUAAAAGUGAAUAUGCUUUUGUUAAACAUCAGAUUUGAACAUUUUAAAUAAAGUUAGCAGAACUCUUUUCUGUGUAUAACAGCAUUAUCAUGAUUCCGUGCAUACAAAGAAACCACAUGAAACCUCUUGUAUUAAUAUGAAGGACCUCAUUCCCAUUUCCUCUUACACUGAUGUGAACCAGCGGUUAUUCUAAUGAUGUCCAUACAGGUAAAAUAGGUGUAAGAAUCAGGCCCCAAAUGUCUCUUCAGGGUAUAAACCCAAUCCCCCUGUGAGCGUUGCACCCACAUGGAGACCCACUGAGUCUCUGUGCAAGCUCAUGGACAGCCUGCGUCAAGCUCAUUGCAGGACUGGAGACUCCUAAGAAGCUUUGAAGUCUGGGACCUACAUCUGAAAUGAUGAACUGUUGUGGAAAAACAGUGACGUUCCCAUUGAA